rnacentral:rRNA from 1 species
GACGAACGCUGGCGGCGUGCCUAAUACAUGCAAGUAGGACGCAGUUGCGAACGGGUGAGUAACGCGUAGGUAACUGCCUAUUAGAGGGGGAUAACUAUUGGAAACGAUAGCUAAUACCGCAUACUAGUAGAUGGACCUGCGUUGUAUUAGCUAGUAGGUAGGGUAAUGGCCUACCUAGGCGGCGUAACAUAGCCGACCUGAGAUGGGGGACGGCCACACUGGGACUGAGACACGGGCCAGACUCCUACGGGAGGCAGCAGUAGGGAAUCUGUGGUAAUUGGGGGAACCCUGACUGAGCAACGCCGCGGGAGUGAAGAAGGUUUUCGGAUCGUAAAGCUCUUUUGUUAAGGAAGCGGUACUUAACCAGAAAGGGACGGCUAACUACGUGCCAGCAGCCGCGGUAAUAC